rnacentral:rRNA from 1 species
UACAGAGGUCCCAAGCGUUGUUCGGAUUCACUGGGCGUAAAGAGCGUGUAGGCGGCCUGAAAGGUCAGCUGUGAAAACUCGAGGCUCAACCUCGAGACGUCGGUUGAAACCAUCUGGCUAGAGUCCGGAAGAGGAGAGUGGAAUUCCCGGUGUAGCGGUGAAAUGCGCAGAUAUCGGGAAGAACACCCGUGGCGAAGGCGGCUCUCUGGGACGGUACUGACGCUGAGACGCGAAAGCGUGGGGAGCGAACAGG